rnacentral:lncRNA from 1 species
GUCAUUCUCUCUCAUCCACUUCCUCUUUAAGAAACACAUUCUCUCUCUAAUCUCUCUAAUCUCUACAUUGUCUCUCUAAUCUCUAAACUGCCAAUCUCCCUCAAAUCCUACUCUACAAUUCUCGGUAGCUUCCAAUCAUCAAUUAGUUCCAUUUUUUUUUGGGUCAAGACUCGGCUGUUUCCAGAUCUCCAAGUUCAGCCCCAAGUUUUUCCAAUUUCGACUACUUCCCAGAUUCAAAAUCAAGAAGGUGAUUACUUGAUUAUUCUCCAUUAAUUGUUCCAGUUUCAAAGAAAGAAAAACUCAUUCUUAUAUUUGUUUACAAUUCACAGAUUCCAACAACAUCACCAAAUCAAGGUUACUCUAAUUUCCCCUACUUCUAUCUACUAAUUCGAAACCAAGCAUCACAGAUCAGCAGCAAAUACACACGCUCACGCACACUUCCUUUUACUAUAUUUUCUGUAUUAUAUGACUACAAGAUGUGUUUGGGUAAGGAAAUACAAGAAUAGAAAGAACAAAUUUUGAAAACCUAAGUGCUCUAUGUGUAAACUGAAAAUUUGAGCUUUUUGUGUCUCUGUGUGCGUGUGACCGGGGACGGAGGGAAGAGUGAGAGCAGCCGGCGGCUGUUCACGGCCGGAGACGGCGCGGCGGCAAGCCACCGCCUUUUUCCUUUUCUGUCUGAAACGACCGAGAGAGAAAGAGAAGAGAAGAGAUUAGUUUUAAAAAAGGUAAGUUAAAAAGGAAGAGAGAGAGAAGGGAGGACUCAUCUUCUCAGGUGACGACGACUCAUCUUCUUCGGCAGCGGCGACACGGCGGCGGAAGCACCAUGGUUGUUCUGUUCGGACGGAAAAGAGGAAAAGAGGAAAAGAGGUCAGAUUUGGUUAGAAAAAAAAGAAAAGAGGAGAAAGGAGGAAGUUUUGGAGCCUACCUUUCCGGCGAGGCAAAGCUCGGCCUCCACCGCGAUUUCAGCCACGACGGACGACGGCGGAGGCGGCAGUGACACGCGAAGGCGGCGGCGUGCGGCUGACUUCCGGCGAGGAAGAGUGAGAGAGGUGAAGAAAGAACAGAGAGACGAGAGGGAGAGAAGAGGUGACCGAGGGAGUGAGGGGGAGAGCGGAGAGUCCGACGAGGCGGCGCGCCGGAGGCGGCGCCGCACUCGACCGAACAGAGCAGAGAGAGAGAGAGAGCCGGGAGAGAGCCGAGAGAUAGAGAGAGAAUGAGGCUUGUGUGUGUUACUGUUGGCAGUUCAAUUUAUAUAUGUAUGCAUGUUUGUUUUUCGGCUUAUGCCACUGAGUAUUUUAUACUCAGCCCUGCAUGUAUUUCUAAAUGUGCAGGUUGAGCAGGCGAUGGAAUGGUUUGGUGUUGAGCGGGAAUUCUUUUGAUGGAUAUGUAAUGAAACCUUGAGUAUGCAUCUCCAUAUGCAUAACUCACACGUUUUUCCGCUGCAAACACUCUGAAUUCAUUAUCGUAUUGUGGAACUUAUUACUCUUUCAUUUUGCUUAACUUUCACUUGUUCUAGUUGUUAUGGCAUAAUCGUCUGUAAAUUACCCAACCAGUU